rnacentral:rRNA from 1 species
UACAGAGGGUGCAAGCGUUGUUCGGAAUUAUUGGGCGUAAAGCGCGUGUAGGCGGCUUUGCAAGUCGGGUGUGAAAGCCCUCAGCUCAACUGAGGAAGUGCGCCCGAAACUGCAGAGCUUGAGUACCGGAGAGGAUGGUGGAAUUCCCCAAGUAGAGGUGAAAUUCGUAGAUAUGGGGGAGGAACACCGGUGGCGAAGGCGACCAUCUGGACGGAUACUGACGCUGAGACGCGAAAAGCGUGGGUAGCAAACAGG